UGUGGCCUACGGGGGGCAGCAGUGAGGAAUAUUGGUCAAUGGGCGGAAGCCUGAACCAGCCAAGUCGCGUGAGGGAAUAAGGCCCUACGGGUCGUAAACCUCUUUUGCCGGGGAGCAAGGGCGGGGACGUGUCCCGGCCCGGAGAGUACCCGGAGAAAAAGCAUCGGCUAACUCCGUGCCAGCAGCCGCGGUAAUACGGAGGAUGCGAGCGUUAUCCGGAUUUAUUGGGUUUAAAGGGUGCGUAGGCGGGCUUUUAAGUCAGCGGUAAAAAUUUGGGGGUGAACCACGUGCGGGCGUUGAAAAUG
rnacentral:rRNA from 1 species